GCGCAUGCGCCGUGCGCGCCCCGCAGCCUUUCCCGGGGAGCCGGCGCGGCCCCGGCGGGAGCUGUGGCUUGGCGGGGUCCCGAGAGAGACGGGCCCGGUCACUGGGCUUAACGGGGAGAGCUUUGGAUGUGUGCGGCGGUGCACGGGGCGCUGCGGAGCUCGGCCCGGGUGAGUGCGGGCUCUCCCAGCUCGGGGCCAUCCCGGCCUGGCGCCUAUCCCGCGGCAAGCGUGACUCGCUAGAGGAGGGAGCCAGGAGGUGCCAUGGAACCUCCAGCCUACACAGGUGUUUCCCAGCCAUGCUGGCAGCAGUCCAGCUGCGGGGAAGCUGCCGAGGAGGCAGCCCGGCGCUGCAACCCAGAACGGGCCUCCCCCGCUGGGCUCUCGCAGAGGAUGGGGCAGUUGCAGCCCCCGCGUCAUUCCCGUGGGAUUCGGGACCUGUGGUGUGCAUUGGGAGCUCCUGCUGGGGAAAAAGCUUUGUCUUCCCAGCCUCUUCUUCACCAGGGAUGUCUCCAUGCGGGAAACGGCACAGGGGACUGGCCGAGGGGCUCAGCCUGGGACACGGCCCCUACAGCAGCAGCCCUGGGCACGCUGGCAAGGCAGGAUGAGCCCAGGUGAGGAGCACGGCCCCAGCGUGGCACCAGGAGAGGCUGGCACGGGAGGAUGAGCCCAGAGACAGAGGAGACGCUGCUGCACCUCGUGCCCAGGAGAGCCCCUGGCUCGCUCCUGCUCUGGGAUGGAACUGGGAGCCUCCUCCCUGCAGAGAGCGGCGCCUGGCCUGCCUUCCCUCCCGAGGGGACAGCCUGGGCUCGCUGCUGCUCACAGCUCCUGCUUAGGGACAUCCACGCCUGGAAUCCGGGCUGCACUAACUGGGCAUCCAGCCACGAGACGUUGGUGCUGCAGCUGCAGGUGUUUCCCAGUCCAGCUUGCUGAACCUCCAGCUCUGGCUGUGGCGUGUUCUUCAGUCCAGCUCUGGAACUGAGAUGCUCCAGUUAAUGGCUGCUCCAGUUCCUUCCAGCUCUGGCUUAAUAACUGCUGCUUUUUGUUACUAGCCAAUUUAAAGCCGAUUUUGGCCAAGGUGUAAAUGACUCACUGUCAUCAAUGACUUAUAACUAUUAACUGUCAUAAAGUUAUUGUUUAAAUAGAA